GUCAUUCACCCCAGCCUACCUACCUGAUCUUGUCUGCUCUUGGAAGCUAAGCAAGUUUGGGCCUGGUUAGUACUUAGAUGGAAGAGUACCUGAGAAAAUUGGAUGUUAUAGGCU
rnacentral:rRNA from 14 species